rnacentral:rRNA from 1 species
GAUGAACGCUGGCGGCGUGCCUAAUACAUGCAAGUCGAGCGAACAGACGAGGAGCUUGCUCCUCUGACGUUAGCGGUGGACGGGUGAGUAACACGUGGAUAACCUACCUAUAAGACUGGGAUAACUUCGGGAAACCGGAGCUAAUACCGGAUAAUAUAUUGAACCGCAUGGUUCAAUAGUGAAAGACGGUUUUGCUGUCACUUAUAGAUGGAUCUGCGCCGCAUUAGCUAGUUGGUAAGGUAAAGGCUUACCAAGGCAACGAUGCGUAGCCGACCUGAGAGGGUGGUCGGCCACACUGGAACUGGGCCGCGGUCCAGACUCCUACGGGAGGCAGCAGUAGGGAAUCUUCCGCAAUGGGCGGAAGCCUUACGGAGCGACGCCACGUGAGUGAUGAAGGUCUUCGGAUCGUAAAACUCUGUUAUUAGGGAAGAACAAAUGUGUAAGUAACUAUGCACGUCUUGACGGUACCUAAUCAGAAAGCCACGGCUAACUACGUG